UACGAAGGGUGCAAGCGUUACUCGGAAUUACUGGGCGUAAAGGGUGCGUAGGUGGUUGUUUAAGUCUGUUGUGAAAGCCCCGGGCUCAACCUGGGAAUGGCAAUGGAUACUGGACAGCUAGAGUGCGGUAGAGGGUAGUGGAAUUCCCGGUGUAGCAGUGAAAUGCGUAGAGAUCGGGAGGAACACCAGUGGCGAAGGCGGCUACCUGGACCAGCACUGACGCUGAAGCACGAAGCGUGGGGAGCAAACAGG
rnacentral:rRNA from 1 species